UUAAGCGACUAAGCGUACACGGUGGAUGCCCUGGCAGUCAGAGGCGAUGAAGGACGUGCUAAUCUGCGAAAAGCGUCGGUAAGGUGAUAUGAACCGUUAUAACCGGCGAUGUCCGAAUGGGGAAACCCAGUGCAAUUCGUUGCACUAUCGUUAACUGAAUACAUAGGUUAACGAGGCGAACCGGGGGAACUGAAACAUCUAAGUACCCCGAGGAAAAGAAAUCAACCGAGAUUCCCCCAGUAGCGGCGAGCGAACGGGGAGCAGCCCAGAGUCUGAAUCAGCUUGUGUGUUAGUGGAACGGUCUGGAAAGUCCGACGGUACAGGGUGAUAGUCCCGUACACCAAAAUGCACAGGUUGUGAACUCGAAGAGUAGGGCGGGACACGUGGUAUCCUGUCUGAAUAUGGGGGGACCAUCCUCCAAGGCUAAAUACUCCUGACUGACCGAUAGUGAACCAGUACCGUGAGGGAAAGGCGAAAAGAACCCCGGCGAGGGGAGUGAAAAAGAACCUGAAACCGUGUACGUACAAGCAGUGGGAGCACCUUCGGGUGUGACUGCGUACCUUUUGUAUAAUGGGUCAGCGACUUAUAUUCUGUAGCAAGGUUAACCGUAUAGGGGAGCCGCAGGGAAACCGAGUCUUAACUGGGCGUUAAGUUGCAGGGUAUAGACCCGAAACCCGGUGAUCUAGCCAUGGGCAGGUUGAAGGUUGGGUAACACUAACUGGAGGACCGAACCGACUAAUGUUGAAAAAUUAGCGGAUGACUUGUGGCUGGGGGUGAAAGGCCAAUCAAACCGGGAGAUAGCUGGUUCUCCCCGAAAGCUAUUUAGGUAGCGCCUCGUGAAUUCAUCUUCGGGGGUAGAGCACUGUUUCGGCUAGGGGGUCAUCCCGACUUACCAACCCGAUGCAAACUACGAAUACCGAAGAAUGUUAUCACGGGAGACACACGGCGGGUGCUAACGUCCGUCGUGAAGAGGGAAACAACCCAGACCGCCAGCUAAGGUCCCAAAGUCAUGGUUAAGUGGGAAACGAUGUGGGAAGGCACAGACAGCCAGGAUGUUGGCUUAGAAGCAGCCAUCAUUUAAAGAAAGCGUAAUAGCUCACUGGUCGAGUCGGCCUGCGCGGAAGAUGUAACGGGGCUAAACCAUGCACCGAAGCUGCGGCAGCGACACUAUGUGUUGUUGGGUAGGGGAGCGUUCUGUAAGCCUGCGAAGGUGUGCUGUGAGGCAUGCUGGAGGUAUCAGAAGUGCGAAUGCUGACAUAAGUAACGAUAAAGCGGGUGAAAAGCCCGCUCGCCGGAAGACCAAGGGUUCCUGUCCAACGUUAAUCGGGGCAGGGUGAGUCGACCCCUAAGGCGAGGCCGAAAGGCGUAGUCGAUGGGAAACAGGUUAAUAUUCCUGUACUUGGUGUUACUGCGAAGGGGGGACGGAGAAGGCUAUGUUAGCCGGGCGACGGUUGUCCCGGUUUAAGCAUGUAGGCUGAUUGUCCAGGCAAAUCCGGAUAAUCAAGGCUGAGGUGUGAUGACGAGGCACUACGGUGCUGAAGUAACAAAUGCCCUGCUUCCAGGAAAAGCCUCUAAGCAUCAGGUAACAUCAAAUCGUACCCCAAACCGACACAGGUGGUCAGGUAGAGAAUACCAAGGCGCUUGAGAGAACUCGGGUGAAGGAACUAGGCAAAAUGGUGCCGUAACUUCGGGAGAAGGCACGCUGGUGUGUAGGUGAAGUCCCUGCGGAUGGAGCUGAGACCAGUCGAAGAUACCAGCUGGCUGCAACUGUUUAUUAAAAACACAGCACUGUGCAAACACGAAAGUGGACGUAUACGGUGUGACGCCUGCCCGGUGCCGGAAGGUUAAUUGAUGGGGUUAUCCGUAAGGAGAAGCUCUUGAUCGAAGCCCCGGUAAACGGCGGCCGUAACUAUAACGGUCCUAAGGUAGCGAAAUUCCUUGUCGGGUAAGUUCCGACCUGCACGAAUGGCGUAAUGAUGGCCAGGCUGUCUCCACCCGAGACUCAGUGAAAUUGAACUCGCUGUGAAGAUGCAGUGUACCCGCGGCAAGACGGAAAGACCCCGUGAACCUUUACUAUAGCUUGACACUGAACAUUGAGCCUUGAUGUGUAGGAUAGGUGGGAGGCUUUGAAGCGUGGACGCCAGUCUGCGUGGAGCCAACCUUGAAAUACCACCCUUUAAUGUUUGAUGUUCUAACGUUGGCCCCUUACCGGGGUUGCGGACAGUGUCUGGUGGGUAGUUUGACUGGGGCGGUCUCCUCCCAAAGCGUAACGGAGGAGCACGAAGGUUAGCUAAUCCUGGUCGGACAUCAGGAGGUUAGUGCAAUGGCAUAAGCUAGCUUGACUGCGAGCGUGACGGCGCGAGCAGGUGCGAAAGCAGGUCAUAGUGAUCCGGUGGUUCUGAAUGGAAGGGCCAUCGCUCAACGGAUAAAAGGUACUCCGGGGAUAACAGGCUGAUACCGCCCAAGAGUUCAUAUCGACGGCGGUGUUUGGCACCUCGAUGUCGGCUCAUCACAUCCUGGGGCUGAAGUAGGUCCCAAGGGUAUGGCUGUUCGCCAUUUAAAGUGGUACGCGAGCUGGGUUUAGAACGUCGUGAGACAGUUCGGUCCCUAUCUGCCGUGGGCGCUGGAGAAUUGAGGGGGGCUGCUCCUAGUACGAGAGGACCGGAGUGGACGCAUCACUGGUGUUCGGGUUGUCAUGCCAAUGGCACUGCCCGGUAGCUAAAUGCGGAAGAGAUAAGUGCUGAAAGCAUCUAAGCACGAAACUUGCCCCGAGAUGAGUUCUCCCUGAGACUUUAAGUCUCCUGAAGGAACGUUGAAGACGAUGACGUUGAUAGGCCGGGUGUGUAAGCGCAGCGAUGCGUUGAGCUAACCGGUACUAAUGAACCGUGAGGCUUAACCUU
rnacentral:rRNA from 1 species